rnacentral:lncRNA from 1 species
CUUCCUCAAAAACACCCAUAUACAAAAAGCAUGGCUUCAAAUAGUUGGGCAGAUAGGUAUAGCUCAUUCGCAAUAUUUUCAAGCAAAAUUCAUCAUUAUUCGUAAUCACAAUUGAAUUUAAAUUUUGCUCUAUACGCACCCAAUAUUCUCUAGUGCGCUCAGAUUUUGCCAAAAGACCUCCAAUUGUAGCAAUUGAUAAAGGAAGCCCUUUACAAUUUGCUACAAUAUUCUUUCCAAUGUUCUCCAACUCAUGAGGGAAACUUUCUCCCCCAAACACAGUGUUGGUGAACAAAUCCCAACUACUAGCCUCAUCUAGAAAUUUCAUACCAACGCCAUAAGACUCUCUCAACUGCGAAGUCAAGUUUGACAGCCUAGUUGUUACAAUGAUUCGACUCCCAUCAUUGCAAUCAGGAAAGGAAGACCUGAUCUUGUCCCACACCUCUAUACUCCACAUAUCAUCCAUAAUUAUGAGAUACCUCCUACCCCAAAAUAUGUAUAGUUUUAAUCCCAAUUGUCCUCACUGAUAGUGAUUUUGCCCCAAUUGUUCUCACUCAAUCACAUCCGGAUCCCCAGUUGCUUGGAAAAGAACUUCCUAAGUGUUUCUCUCACAUUAUAAGUUUGAGAAAUGUAGUCCAAGCACAAAUAUCAAAAUGCUUUUAACAAGCGCAUGCUCAAAUACAUGUCGGGCAAGAGUGGUCUUACCAAUGCCGCCCAUCCCCAUAUUGGGAUGAUUUGGCGACUGUUGGCCUCCGGUGAGCUUAUCCAGCACUUAAGUAACACCUCUCGAAGCCCACCAUAUGUUUCCUUCACAGUGGAAGGGACCAGCAUGAGUCUUGAGAGACCUUUCUCUGCAGUUGACGCUCGGUGCAAUCUCCAUGGCUUCCUUCUUGAUCAAAUUCAUUUCUUCUAUCACUUGUUGUAGAUCGUGAUAGAAGUCCUCCUCAAUAGUUGCGCAUUUACACAGAGCUCGAAACAAGUUGAUAAAACUGGACAUCUUCCCACGAAUUGUGGAUCGGUUAUGAAUUUGAAGCACAAUUUGGGAUUCGAUGACAUCCUCAGCUGCAUAAACUGCAUCAGCAAUGCGACGCUCCAAUGGAUCCGCCUCAUGGUCAUCCACAACUGGGGAAAUAUAAGCAUCAAGAAAAUCCUGCAAGAAGGUAACAUUUUCAGUGAGAGAUUCAACUUGCUGUUUGUGGAUAGAAAUUGGAGGGGAAGGAUGUUUUUCAAGGCGAUCUAUGAUAUGCAUAAGAGAAACCAGAGCUCCAUAAGCCGCCAUGAUUAACACUUUGAAUAAUGUAUAUAUUUAUGGGAAGUGCGAACGAAAAUAUCUGAUACUAAUAUUUGAGAGGUGAAAGAAGGCAAUUAGCUAAUCAGGUAUUAUGAUUCGACAAUUGAGAUUUGAAACUUUUUAUAGCAGAUACAGAUGAACAAGUCAUGUGCAACAUUAUUGAAAUCAAUAAAAUAAGCUGCAGUUGUUGGAUUCAAACUUUUUUAUAUGUGCACCUAACGUGGCUUACUUAUAAUUAUAGACGUCGCUCUUAAAAUAUAACCACUGCCAUUAAUUCAAUUAAUUACAUGUUUGCUGCUAAUCAAACUUAUUGCUGGUGUUUGAUGUUGACUUUCACUAGCAUCGAUGAAAAACGAUUAUCGAUGAUUGAAUUAGUUUAUGAUGCGAAGCAGUCCUUGCAUCGAUGAAAUAUUAUAAUUGAAAGAUUAAGAUAUUUUGAUAAACUAGCAGAAAGAAAUAUAUAUAUAAAUAUAGAUAUAAUAUUGUCAUAUUUAAAUUUUUUAUUAUCAUGUUUAGUCAAAUUUCAUAAUUUUAUAAAUAAAUAAAACAAACAAAUAAAAAGAUAAAGAAAAUAUUACCACGUAAUUUUGAAAUUGAUUUCAAAUUAGAAGUUAUCUUUUGAAUAGUAUAUUAUCAAUUUUCUUAUUUUUGAAAGAAUAUAUUUCAUUUAUUUUGCAGCUUAUAAUUUCAGUUAUGGGCUAAAAAAAUUUACUGGUGUCCAAGUUUGUUUGGGAACUUUACUUUUAGCCCAACCAUCAAAGUCUUGGGUCGGCCCAGACAGACUGCAUUCUGCUUCUCAUUCUUCAUUUUAGGGUCACAAUAAAAUUUAGCAACAUUUUAUAAGAUAUUGAAGCUUAUAAAUUAAGUAUUUUUUGAAGUGUUUGAAAAUAAAUAUUUAAAAAAAGAAAAGAAAAAAAAAUGAUCUAGUUUAUUUAAUUUGGUCUCGCAAAAUAUUAUACUAGUGGCUUUAUAAAAAAUUGUUAAGGAUCGACUAGGUGUUUUUUUAAAAUGUAAUGUUAGGGUGGCAAGUGGUGUAUACCUUAUCUUUUAAUAUAGUGUAUAUUAUUAUUUAUUAUAGUUUUUUCUCUGAAUAUUACUCUAUGUACCAACAAUAACCUUAUGAAUUAUUUUCUAUAAAUUAAAAACUUAAAGAAAAUAUUCAUACCGUGCAUGUACGGGUAUAAUACCAGUUUGUAGAAAAGAAGAAAAUCAACAGACUACCAAUUUGACCAAACAUUGACCUAUUGACUAGACUUUUGAUUCUUUAGUCCCAUCAUCAUUUCUGGCCAAGUCCUGAAAAAACUAUAGAAUUAAAUGGUUUCAUAUUUUUUUUUUUCUGAAUUACAAGAUGUAUCUAAUAUAAAUCAAAUAAAUAAUUAACUAGCACACAGGCGAGACCCCUACACCACAUAAAAAUAAAAAAAUAACCGCACGCAGUCGAAAUUACUAUCACACAAAAUGAGAAAACUAAAUUACCAAUUUAAAUCUAGCAAUUGACGUUGUUGACCAAGACCAAAAAUCUUUAUAAAGAAAUAGUCUCUUAUUUAUAUUAUGACUAGCAUUUGCAUCUCGUCGCAAUGCACGGAAAAAUAUUUUUUAUUUAUAUUUUUAUAUUUAUAUAAAAGUGAUACCAACUCAAUUAUCAUAUUAUAUACGUCAUAUUUAGUCAAAUUUCAUAAUUUUAGAAAUAAAUAAAACAAACAAAUAAAAAGAUAAAGAAAAAAUUACCACUUAAUUUUGAAAUUGAUUUCAAAUUAGAAGUUAUCUUUUUAAUAGUAUAUUAUCAAUUUUCUUAUUUUUGAAAGAAUAUAUUUCAUUUAUUAUCACACCAUUUUUGGAGGGAUAAUAUUAUCCUUCCUUUGUAGUGUAAAUGAGGAAUGAGUAAGGGUCAAGUAAGAAAUGUGGGUAAAAAAAAAAAGGAUUUAAAGGGUGAAAUUUUGUUUAUCAUUCAUUUUCCCAUGAUAAAUUAAUUUACAACCAAAGAGAACGCACCCUUAUAGGAUAUUGAAGCUUAUAAAUUAAGCCUGUUUUGAAGUGUUUGAAUAUAAAUAUUUACAAAAAGAAAAGAAAAGAAAAAAGGAUCUAGCUAGUUUGUUUCUUUGUUUAAUUUGCUCUCCCAAAAUAUUAUACUACUAUGUUUGUAGCUUUAAGCACUUUUGUAAACAAUAUUUUAUAAUGAGUGUUCUGUACAAAAAGAAAAGAAAAAAAGGAUCUACUUUGUUUAAUUUGUUCUGUACAAAAAGAAAAAAGAAAAAAAAAAUCCAAACUCGAGAUUCUCCAUGAUAACGAUAUCAUCACUCGGACGAUCUGGGAGAAUCAAUCCUGCUUCCACAAACUCGAGAUGCCUAAGUUGAUGCAAUUUCCAUAUCUCAAUCGGAGCAAUAAGAUCAUGCUUGGAAUGAACUAUUAACGUAUAUAGAUUGCAGAGCAAUUUGAUUGAAGAAGGGAAUUUGGACUCCUGAUGAAGUCUAACAGCAAGGUGCCGUGAGUUCACCAGUUGAAAAACAUUGUCUAGGAAAUUAAAACCAUGUCCCUCCUUAUCAUCUUUUGAAUACAAUCGAGCUGUUUCUCUAUCAUAUGAUUUGAAUGUUCUCAACAAUCUAAGAUUGUGAGGCCUUUCAAAGUUUCUCCCCUCACCAUUACAUAUUAUCGAACGAGCAUGUGACCAAGAUCUCGAGACUUCACUUAUGACCCAACUUCCAGCAUUUUUAAAAACAACCCGACGAUGUUCGUUAUCUAUGACUAAAGGAGACUUUUCUAUGAUACGAUAAAACCUCUCCUUUUCAACUUCUUUUAAGCACACGUCCCUCAACAAAUCAUGAAUCUUACAAAACUUUACAUUUCCACUAAACCCCAACUUAUCAACUAUUAUGAGAUUUCUAUCCACCAACUCUAUUAAGUACUCCUGCGCAAUUGUUUCCAAGCAUUUUCCACUACUCAUCGGUUUCAAAAAUCCUUCUGAAACCCAUAGCUUCUUCAGCAUUGAGGCACGAAUUCUAUGAUCUUCCUCAAAAACACCCAUAUACAAAAAACAUGGCUUCAAAUAGUUGGGCAGAUAUGUAUGGGAAGUGUGAAUGAAAUAUAUGAGGUGAUAUUUGAGAGGUGAAAGAAGAGAACCAAUCUUUUGUGCUAAGAUGAAAGAAGGCAAUUUGCUAUCCGGUAAAGUGAAUUGGAUCCACUCAUGAUAAUGAAAUUCAUUUAUCAGAAAAAUGAUGAAGCCAUGUGCAGCAUUGAUUUAAAUAUCUGCAGUUGUCGGAAUAAGCAGGUCCCUCUUAAAAUAUAACCACUGUCAUUAAUUUAAUUAAUUACAUGUUUGUUGCUAAACUUAUUGCUAGGAUCGAUGUUGACGGUCACAAGGAUCGAUGAUUGAAACUAUAACAUUUCAAAUAACACUAUGAGAUUUCAAAUGACACUACAUUCGACAUAUUAAUGAUACAAUAAUAUUUUAAUAUUUGAAAUGACAAUUUAACAUUACAAAUGACUCUUUUGAUUCAAAUGGCACUAUAAUAUUUCAAGUGACAUUACAAGAUUUCAAAUGACACAUUGACAUUUCAAAUUACACUACUCCGACAUACAAAUGACACUAAUUCUAUCACUUUCAAAAUAAGUAAGAGAUGAUUGUACAGUAUAAUAACAUGAGAUGUCUCUUAAGUUUACAACACAGAAGUGGAAAGACCUCUGCUGUGUGGUGGCAGAGCGACAGUGGCAGCGAUUGAGGCGGCCGGCAGUGGGUUGCUGUCGCCGUAUUCAGCUGCACCGUUAUCUUCCCCAGCGAUCGGCCGCCGUUCAGGCCGCAUAUAGCCCCGCGGCGGCCGGAGUAGACCGAGAUUUUGAGCUGCGGCAGAUUGGAGAGAGUGAAGACUGAAGAGGGAGGAUUUGCUGAGUUGGAAGCUGGAUAAGCAAUAAUUUUUUUAUAAUAUAAAUGGUUCUGGGUCAGGGUCACCAAUGUGGGCAGGGUACAACCCGGUUUUUCUAUAAAACCAGUUUCACACCAGAUUUUUGUGUUUAUUUAAAUAGUGAGUUAUUGAUAUAAUUAAUAAUCUAUAUUUUGGGGGCAAGAUAGAUGUAUAUAUAUGCUCGAAAAAUCGGAAGUAAACAAUACAAGGACUGCAUCGCACCUACUCGAUCGGGAACUUCAUGACAGAGCGGAUCAUCAUAAACUAAUUCAAUCAUAUCGAUGCUCGUGACAGUCAACAUCGAUAACCAACAAUAAGUUUAGCAACAAACAUGUAAUUAACUAAAUUAAUGACAGUCUUAUUCCGACAACUGCAGCAUAUUUAAAUGAAUGCUGCACAUGGCUUCUUCAUUUUUAUGAUAAACACAAUUUCAUUAUCACGUGUAAUUUCCAGUUCACUUUACCAGAUUGCUAACAUCUCUCAUAUAUUUUAAUUCACACUUCCACAAAUAUAAAAAUUCUGUGUCUGCAUUCAAAGAGUUUAUCAUGGCCGCUUAUGGAGCUCUGCUUUCUCUUAUGCAUAUCAUAGAUCGUAUUGAAAAUCAUCCUUCCCCUCCUAUUUCUAUCGACAAACAGCAAGUUGAAUCUCUCACUCAAAAUGUUGGCUUCUUGCAGGAUUUUCUUGAUGCUUAUAUUUCCCCAGUUGUAUUAUCAUUAUUUUAAGCUUUUGUAUUAUCAUUAUUUUAAGCACAUUUAAGCUUAAAAGAGAAAAAGAAGCUUAAAAUAAUGAUAAUACAAAAAAGAAACAAAAAAAAUUACAAAAAAGUUGACAUGGCAGUUCACAUCAGCAACGGGCUCUAGGUGGCAUCAAAAGUCCGAAUAAUUAAUUUUAGGCCCAAAACAGGAGUGUAAAUGCAAAAAAAAAAUUAUAGUCCUUAUUUUCAAAAUCCGUAACUUAUAGUCAUUUUUCUAAAAAUCCUGAAAGUUACGGUCCUAUUUUUACCAUUAGGUCUGGAGACGAUAGUGGUUUGAUCUGUUGAUUUGUUAUUAAUUAACAAAUCAUGUCAGUAUGUUUGCUUCAUUAGGGUUGCCUCUUAAACUUGAUCUAGAAAUUAACUUGUUAGGCUUUAAAAGUUAAUAAUUUAUUUUUCUUCACCCUAAUGUUAUUCAUAUAUAGUAACAAUCGAAAAUUAAUACUAUAGCUCCAUACAACAAUAUCAUGUGAUUAUUUCGUCAGUUGUGGGAGGGGGAGCAAUGUGGGUUUCACCUAAGUCCUCUUUCAUUUACAUAAGUCUACCAUCUUGGCAUAUUGUAAUGAGAUUUAAUUUUAUAGACUGUCACUGUUAAGUCAUGAAAUUUAUGCCCAUUUCAAUUGGAAAAAAAAUAAAGCUUUAAUCCUAUAAUUUGGAUUAUUAUUAGAAUUUCUCGGAUUAUUGNUAAAAAUUCUGUGUCUGCAUUCAAGAGUAUAUCAUGCCGCUUAUGGAGCUCUGGUUUCUCUUAUGCAUAUCAUAGAUCGUAUUGAAAAUCAUCCUUCCCCUCCAAUUUCUCUCGACAAACAGCAAGUUGAAUCUCUUACUGAAAUUGUUACCUUCUUGCAAGAUUUUAUUGAUGCUUAUAUUUCCCCAGUUGUAUUAUCAUUAUUUUAAGCUUUUGUAUUAUCAUUAUUUUAAGCACAUUUAAGCUUAAAAGAGAAAAAGAAGCUUAAAAUAAUGAUAAUACAAAAAAGAAACAAAAAAAAUUACAAAAAAGUUGACAUGGCAGUUCACAUCAGCAACGGGCUCUAAGUGGCAUCAAAAGUCCGAAUAAUUAAUUUUAGGCCCAAAACAGGCGUGUAAAUGCAAAAAAAAAAAUUAUAGUCUUAUAGUCCUUAUUUUCAAAAUCCGUAACUUAUAGUCAUUUUUCUAAAAAUCCUGAAAGUUACGGUCCUAUUUUUACCAUUAGGUCUGGAGACGAUAGUGGUUUGAUCUGUUGAUUUGUUAUUAAUUAACAAAUCAUGUCAGUAUGUUUGCUUCAUUAGGGUUGCCUCUUAAACUUGAUCUAGAAAUUAACUUGUUAGGCUUUAAAAGUUAAUAAUUUAUUUUUCUUCACCCUAAUGUUAUUCAUAUAUAGUAACAAUCGAAAAUUAAUACUAUAGCUCCAUACAACAAUAUCAUGUGAUUAUUUCGUCAGUUGUGGGAGGGGGAGCAAUGUGGGUUUCACCUAAGUCCUCUUUCAUUUACAUAAGUCUACCAUCUUGGCAUAUUGUAAUGAGAUUUAAUUUUAUGACUGUCACUGUUAAGUCAUGAAAUUUAUGCCCAUUUCAAUUGGAAAAAAAAUAAAGCUUUAAUCCUAUAAUUUGGAUUAUUAUUAGAAUUUCUCGGAUUAUUAUCCCAGAAUAAUAAUUACCUGAAUAAUAAUCAUGAGUUAUUAAAUAACAGAUUCUCAUUAAUCGAGAAUUUGCUUGAGACAUUUAUCUUACCUUAUAUUCUCGGAUUAAAGGUCAAUCACAAGAGUGAGAGCUAGUCAAGGAGUCACUGAACUGUAGCAAAGCUUUGUUGAGGAAUGUCAAUCGGGCCAGCUCUAUAGGGUUUCGGAUUAAUCGGGUGCGGGCUAAUCGGGCUGAGGAUUUUGUCGGGUUAUAAAUUUUCAACCCUAACCCUAAACGUUCGGGUUUCGGGCUAGCCCAUCGGGCUAAUCGAGUUGAAGGCGUAAAAAUAAAAUAAUCAUUUAUAUUUUGUUAUUCUUAAUGAUCUAAUGUAUAAUUAAUGUAUAAAAUAUACAUAGAAAUCAAAGAUAUAAAUUAUAUAGCAAGCAUGAAAUGCAAAAAUAUAAGAUGUUGAAGAAAAAAAAUCAAGAUUACAUAACAUAUAAAAUAAGUUGGUAACAAUAAAAUGUUCAACUUUGUUAAAGAAAAAAUAAUAAAAUAUCCAACAAUAGUUUGAACUCAUAGAAUCAAAGCAUCUCAAAAAUACAAAAAAAUGAAACGAUGAGACUUUAUAAUAUUUUGUCAUGUUUUAAUUUUUAUAUCUAAAUAUUUUAUGUUAAGUAUUCGGGUUUCGGGCUAGCCCAUCGGGAACAAUAGAUAGAGUUGUGGAGAUAGCUUACAGUAAUGAAUUGAAGCAACAAAAGCUCAAAGUUUUAUAAGCUUACGAAACAAAAGGUCUGAACUUGUAACUAACAAUCUUGGAUGAUUCUAAUAAGCUCUCACUGUAACUUCAAAGUUGGGACUUGCUAAGCUCUGCAGUCUUUCGUGUGCUUUUGGAACCAUAGCUCGAACAUGAAGGUCUAGUUGGUCUCCUUGGAAAUCCUCUUGUUCUUCUACUAUACCGCUGAUUCACUGCAAUCUUCCAAAUAAAUUGAUUUCAGCGUUGGUAUCUCACCAACUUCGGAAGGGAUCUCCUCCAAUUCAUCCAAACUUCGAAGACGAAGCUCCUGCAGAACUCGAAAGUGGGAGCUCUGUCCCAUCGUCCAACUUUUUAGACCUUGACAGAAGUUCAAUUGUAGUAGCUUGAGGCUCUGGAAUUGGCCCUCAAUAGUGUCCCACUUGCCUGUUUUGAAGGUACCACGAUGUAAUACUAACUUGUGAAGAAGGGGCAACCACCCUAUCUUUUCCAAUAUCUCUUCCAACUCCGCAUGAUAAUAGAGAAAUAAGUUCAACUUCUUGAGAGAGUGUGGGAAAGUAAGCCUCUGCAAAUACUCAUCAUAUCCAUAAUGGAAGCGGCAUAACAAGUUUUCCAAUUUACUCAGACACUCAAGAUAGCUAAAAGAGUUUGCUCUCUCCGUUUGUUUCACUUUACUCAAACCCUUGUAUUUGUAAAUUAGACGCAAUUUCUUGACAUUGGGAAUUCUUUGAACCACCUCCUCAUUCAAAUACAAAUUCAUUACUCCUUUGAGCGUUUGUAGAUUCUCCAUGAUAACCAUCUCACUCGGAGGAUCUGGUAGAAUCAAUCCUUCUUUCACAAACUCAAGAUGCCUAAGUUGAUGCAAUUUCCAAAUCUCAAUCGGUGCAACAACUUCACGCCAAUAUUCUGAAUCAGACUCAUAAACUAUUAACGUAGAUAGAUUCCAAAGCAAAUUGAUUGAAGACGGGAAUUUGGUCACCGAAUGAACUCUAACAGCAAGGUGCCGUGAGUUCACCAAUUGAAAAACAGCGCCUACGAAAUGAAGACCACCUCUAUAUGAAUCUUUAUCAUAUGCUUUGAAUGUUCUCAACAAUCUAAAAUUGUGAGGCCUUUCAAAGUUUAUCCCAUCGUCAUCACAUAUUAUAGAACGAGCAUGUGACAAAGAUCUCGAGACUUCACUUAUUACCCCUCUUCCACCAUUUUGAAAAACAACCCGACGACGUUCAUUAUCUAUGACUGAAGGAGACUUUUCUAUGAUAUGAUAAAACCUCUCUUUUUCAACUACUUUCAAGCACAUGUCCCUCAACAAAUCAUGAAUCUUACAAAACUUUACAUUUCCACUAACCCCCAACUUAUCAACUAAAAUCAGAUUUCUAUCUACCAACUCCUUCAAGUACUCUUCUCCUAUUGUUUCCAAACAUUUUCCACUCACGGGUUUUAAAAUUCCUUCUGAAACCCAUAGCUUCUUCAGCAUUGAGACACGAAUUGAACGAUCUUCCUUAAAAACACCCAUAUACAAAAAACAUGGCUUCAAAUAGUUGGGUAGAUAGGUAUAGCUCAUUCGCAAUAUUUUCAAGCAAAAUUCAUCAUUAUUCGUAUUCACAAUUGAAUUUAAAUUUUGCUCUAUACGCAUCCAAUAUUCUGUAGUGCGCUCAGAUUUUGCCAAAAGACCUCCAAUUGUAGCAAUUGAUAAAGG